GAGUUUGAUCAUGGCUCAGAUUGAACGCUGGCGGCAGGCCUAACACAUGCAAGUCGAGCGGAUGACGGGAGCUUGCUCCUUGAUUCAGCGGCGGACGGGUGAGUAAUGCCUAGGAAUCUGCCUGGUAGUGGGGGACAACGUUUCGAAAGGAACGCUAAUACCGCAUACGUCCUACGGGAGAAAGCAGGGGACCUUCGGGCCUUGCGCUAUCAGAUGAGCCUAGGUCGGAUUAGCUAGUUGGUGGGGUAAUGGCUCACCAAGGCGACGAUCCAUAACUGGUCUGAGAGGAUGAUCAGUCACACUGGAACUGAGACACGGUCCAGACUCCUACGGGAGGCAGCAGUGGGGAAUAUUGGACAAUGGGCGAAAGCCUGAUCCAGCCAUGCCGCGUGUGUGAAGAAGGUCUUCGGAUUGUAAAGCACUUUAAGUUGGGAGGAAGGGCAGUAAGUUAAUACCUUGCUGUUUGACGUUACCGACAGAAUAAGCACCGGCUAACUCUGUGCCAG
rnacentral:rRNA from 1 species